UACGAAGGGGGCUAGCGUUGUUCGGAAUCACUGGGCGUAAAGCGCACGUAGGCGGAUCGUUAAGUCGGGGGUGAAAUCCCAGGGCUCAACCCUGGAACUGCCUUCGAUACUGGCGAUCUUCGAGUCCGGGAGAGGUGAGUGGAACUCCGAGUGUAGAGGUGAAAUUCGUAGAUAUUCGGAAGAACACCAGUGGCGAAGGCGGCUCACUGGUCCGGUACUGACGCUGAGGUGCGAAAGCGUGGGGAGCAAACAGG
rnacentral:rRNA from 1 species